UUACAGGUUCUGCAGGACUGCUGAUUGCUAGGCAACCUGUUGAGGAACCUCCAGGCAUGUCUGCGCCAUUAUCACAAGCACAAAGUGAAAACGCAGAUGGUAAGGGCAAAGAACCCAGCAGAAAACAAAAGAAGAAGGAAAAAGAGCCCAGCAGAUAACUAAAGAAGACGGACAAAGAGCCCAACAGAAAAAAGAAAACGAAUAAACAAUCUGUUUCUCUGGAAAGUGCUAGGAGAGCAAAAAAGCAUCAAUGGUCUCCCAUGGAGGUUGCCACGGUCAUGAGACAUUUUGGCGAACACAUCAAAAAAGGAAAACUGGCCACUAUGAUUGAAUGCCAGCAACGCAAAAAGGCAGAAGAUCCUGCUCUGGCUGGUUGCUCUAUUCAAAACAUAAGAGACUUUGUAAGAAAUCGUGGUGUGACUUUGAACAGAAAAGAAAAUCCUGGCUAAAAUAUGGAAAUGUGAGAACUGUCCACCAGUGAUGUCAUCAGGACACAUGGAAUAUUCAGGGUUAGAACAUGAGUAAUCUCUGUGUUCUGAUGACAUCACUGGUGGACAAUUUAAAUAUUUCAGCUUGUGGAGGAGAGGAGAGCUGUACAGUAUAUAUUGUUUGGUGUUGUAUUUAUACAACAUGAUUUAGUUUUAUUUCUACUGUGAGAAGAUACUGUAGGUAACUUGUUUAUGUGUAAUCUGUCAGUUGGCUUAACAGUUUGUGACACUGAGUUUAAAAGGGGGGGGGGGGUUGAAGCUUCUGACCCUCUUGCGCUACUUGAAUGCUAAACAUCAGAUGUAUCUUUGUUUUCCUGACAUGACACUGUGUGCAGUGUUUGUGUUGCUCUCUGCAAGGACAAAGAUAGGUGUUUGUCCUUCGAGUUCUUCGAGAAGACACGUUAGUUUUACUCUCUUUUCUCAAGCCAGACACGUGUCGACAUGCAUAAUUUCAUUUUGCCAUUCAUUAAUUUUCAUUUCUGUUCACAAAUAGUAUGGAUUCUGUUGCUCUAAUACUUAAGUGAAGGCACUGUAUCACACAGUCCACUUUUGUCUGUUUAAGGUCCCAUUUAUCCAUGUUUGACCCUUUAAUACACAGAGCUUACAUGUUUGUGUAUGUGUAUGGCCAUGGUCCUGACAAAUAAAGUUGGCCCUGGUAAUUACUAUUUGUGUCAUGGGCAGAGCUAAGUACCUUAUUAUCGUUUGUCCCCUUAAUACAGCAUGGUGUCAGGUUCUUGUAUUUUGAGUUCUGAUGUGUUUAUUCGAAUUUUGAAAUGAGAUUUGUGUUGUAUAGCUCAAAUAGGAUUUUUUAAGAUCUACUACAUCUUUCUAGCACAAGUGGAAAGGGGUGACUGUUUAGUGUUGCAAAAAACUGGUUUGAAAAACUAGUUCUCCUAAUUAACAAAAACCAGUAUGUGUGUGUGUGUGUGUGUGUGUGUGUGUGUGAGUGUGUGUAUAGAACCCCUGGCA